GGGUCUUUGCGUAGUCUUCUAGGCCCGAUCUCCAACCCUUUGUAUAGCUACCAUGUUGCUUUGGCGGGCCCGUCUUUAACCGGACCGCCGGGGGUUUUCAACCUCUGGCCAGUGCUCGUCAGUAGCCCACACAACACUCUUUUAACAAUGUUAAAUCUGAAAAUAGUUAAAUAAACUAAAACUUUCAACAACGGAUCUCUUGGUUCUGGCAUCGAUGAAGAACGCAGCGAAAUGCGAUAAGUAAUGCGAAUUGCAGAAUUCAGUGAGUCAUCGAAUCUUUGAACGCACAUUGCGCCCUUUAGUAUUCUGAAGGGCAUGCCUGUUCGAGCGUCAUUAUCACUAAUCAAGCCCGGCUUGCUGUUGGACCUCUUGUCGCUAACAAAGACAGGUCCUAAAGAUAAUGACGGCGUCAGUUGGACCCUAGAUGCAACGAGCUUUAACUAGCACGCAUUUUAGUUGGCCCUUGUGACCCGGUCUUUUUAUAACCAAUUUCUAAGGUUGACCUCGGAUCAGGUAGGAAUACCCGCUGAACUUAAGCAUAUCAAAGCC
rnacentral:rRNA from 1 species